GAUGAACGCUGGCGGCGUGCCUAAUACAUGCAAGUCGAGCGAACAGACGAGGAGCUUGCUCCUUUGACGUUAGCGGCGGACGGGUGAGUAACACGUGGAUAACCUACCUAUAAGACUGGGAUAACUUCGGGAAACCGGAGCUAAUACCGGAUAACAUGUUGAACCGCAUGGUUCAACAGUGAAAGACGGUCUUGCUGUCACUUAUAGAUGGAUCCGCGCCGCAUUAGCUAGUUGGUAAGGUAACGGCUUACCAAGGCAACGAUGCGUAGCCGACCUGAGAGGGUGAUCGGCCACACUGGAACUGAGACACGGUCCAGACUCCUACGGGAUGCAGCAGUAGGGAAUCUUCCGCAAAGGGCGAAAGCCUGACGGAGCAACGCCGCGUGAGUGAAGAAGGUCUUCGGAUCGUAAAACUCUGUUAUUAGGGAAGAACAAAUGUGUAAGUAACUAUGCACGUCUUGACGGUACCUAAUCAGAAAGCCACGGCUAACUACGUG
rnacentral:rRNA from 1 species